UCCGUUCCCAGUGGCUCGGCCUCAACAUCAGGAGCAUCGACAGAGAAAAUAUCUACUGACAAACACCGGAAUUAUGCUGUUGUAGCUGGAACUGUGACGAUUCUCGGUGCUCUUGGAUGGUAUCUCAAAUCUAAAAAGAAGCCAGAAGAAGUCUAGGAUUGAGUUAACAAAUGAUGUCAUUUUCAUAUCAUCAGCAUCUGAAGCAUGGCCUGGGG
rnacentral:misc_RNA from 1 species